GGUCAAACAUAAGACAUGCGAGAUAGUAAAUAACUUUCGAAUCGGAAGACUAUCUUUUGCGAUAGGAUCCAUAUUCGUUGCGCUACUUCUC
rnacentral:sRNA from 1 species